AGUGAACGCUGGCGGUAGGCCUAACACAUGCAAGUCGAACGGCAGCACAGUAAGAGCUUGCUCUUACGGGUGGCGAGUGGCGGACGGGUGAGGAAUACAUCGGAAUCUACUUUUUCAUGGGGGAUAACGUAGGGAAACUUACGCUAAUACCGCAUACGACCUACGGGUGAAAGCAGGGGAUCUUCGGACCUUGCGCGAUUGAAUGAGCCGAUGUCGGAUUAGCUAGUUGGCGGGGUAAAGGCCCACCAAGGCGACGAUCCGUAGCUGGUCUGAGAGGAUGAUCAGCCACAAUGGAACUGAAACACGGUCCAGACUACUAAGGGAGGGAGCAGUGGGGAAUAUUGGACAAUGGGGGGAAGCCUGAUCCAGCCAGAGCGAGUGGGUGAAAGAGGCCUUCGGGGUGUAAAGCCCUUUUGUUGGGAAAGAAAAGCAGCAGGUUAAUACCCCGCUGUUCUGACGGUACCCAAAGAAUAAGCACCGGCUAACUUCGUG
rnacentral:rRNA from 1 species